rnacentral:rRNA from 1 species
GGUCUUGCCUGCCCAGUGACUGUAAGUUAAACGGCCGCGGUAUUUUGACCGUGCAAAGGUAGCGCAAUCACUUGUCUUUUAAAUGAAGACCUGUAUGAAUGGUGGAACGAGGGCUUAACUGUCUCCCUCAUCUAGUCAAUGAAAUUGAUCUACCCGUGCAGAAGCGGGUAUUGUAAUACAAGACGAGAAGACCCUUUGGAGCUUAAGACAAAAGACCAACUAUGUCAAGAGUACCAAAAAUGAAACUAAACCAAAUAGCACUGGUCCCAGUCUUCGGUUGGGGUGACCGCGGGAGAGAAUUAAGCUCCCAUGUGGACUGGGACAACCCCCCAAAACUAAGAAAGACAUCUCUAAGGCACAGAACAUCUGACCAUAAAGAUCCGGCUAUACGCCGACCAACGGACCAAGUUACCCUAGGGAUAACAGCGCAAUCCCCUUCCAGAGUCCAUAUCGACAAGGGGGUUUACGACCUCGAUGUUGGAUCAGGACAUCCUAAUGGUGCAGCCGCUAUUAAGGGUUCGUUUGUUCAACGAUUAAAGUCCU